CUUCCAUCUUCCAUUAAUAUCAAUCUUCUCUAAGGUAGUUCAAUACACAAUAUGUAUGAGGAAAUCCCUAUCAUUUUUCAAAGACAUGCAAAAGACAUUGUUGUAAAAAAUUUAAUAUGAUAACGUGGAUUUGUAUAAUGAGUAACCAUGACAACACAUCCAUAGCAACAUUUCUCAUAGAGAAUAUUCAAAUUUCAAACAUUUCAAGCUAACUGUCAUAAGACUAGAUUUCAGGUUUGCUAUUAAAAUACGAUGACAAAUACAAAUUUGCUAGAUUUACUUAAUAUAUCAAAUGAUGAUACUGGUUAAACAGUAAUUUAAACUUGUAUUCUGAUAUCUGAUCUGUAUAUCUGUUUGCACAGUUUCCUGGAAUCACAAUAAUUUUAAAUCUCAUAUCUUUGUACAUUCUUCAUAAAUGCGUGCAAUAAUUUUUGAAUUUUCACAGUUAUCAGUGAUUGCAGACCAAUGAAUACUAAUUGGUGAAAAACAAUUGAUUUGUGCACCAAAUUAGAACACCAAAUGUUUUUUUUUAAUUCAGUUCCAAAUUAAAUACAAUAUAAUAUUUAUUUUUGCUUUGAAUAGUUCAAUGAAUAAUUUGUCAGUGUGAAUUAGUUAUCUAUUUGAAUAAUUUUCAAAAAUUUUCAAUAACAAAAAAAUACUAACAUUUUCUCUGCAAACAACACAAGUUCAAAAAAGUCUUUCUUGAAAACAAUUAAAAAGUAAUACACACUGAAAUGUAAUAUAUGAAUCACUGCAGAUAUUUAAAAAAACAAAGAGCAUCAAAUCAAUUAUCUUAAAAUUCAGUGAAAGAAUAGUUUCUUCCUCAUUUUUUGCAAUCUGCAUUCAUGGACGUCAAAUCUGUAAGUUUCACAUUUAAAUCAUGAGUGAUUUCUUUUGACAUUAUUGUGUGAAAAACUUUAUAAUAUGCAUGUGUGAAAAACUCGCCCUGUUCCUUUAUCAUAAAUAGAAAAAAUAUCAUGGGCAAAAUUCAUAAAACUUUCACAAAAUUGUCAAAACAACAAUUCGGUAACUUUAUAAUUUCAUAUAAUCUUUACAUUUAUACAAAUCAGAAAGUUGUACAACUGAACUGAUCUGUCAUUUUUAUUGCUAUAAUUUAUAAUGUGUAUAUAUUUAAUCUAAGUCUCCUAAUUCAUUGGCGUGAUUAUGAAGAGAAUAAAACAUUUCAUGCUUGAGAAUCAGUUAGUGUGAGUCAGUGUAUUUAAAUUUAAAUUCUUGCAAUGUUUACUUGUAUUGUUCUAUUUAGAAGUCAUUCAAUGACAACUUUAAAUUUCUCCUUGAAAAACGAAUCAAAUCAUUUAUUUUUUGUUCAGUUUUCAGGGAGAUAUUUCAAGUUCCUAUUGAAUGAACUCUAAAAAGAACAAUAAAUAUUUUAUUUAUUAAAUGGAACGGUUCACCUUCCAAAUAUUUAUGCAAUGAAAAUAUGCAUAAUUUUGCCUCAUGACAUAAGGAAUCAA
rnacentral:lncRNA from 1 species